rnacentral:rRNA from 1 species
UACGUAGGGUGCAAGCGUUGUCCGGAAUUAUUGGGCGUAAAGAGCGUGUAGGCGGCCCGAUUAGUCCGCUGUGAAAGUCCAGGGCUCAACCCUGGAAUGCCGGUGGAUACUGUCGGGCUAGAGUCCGGAAGGGGCGAGUGGAAUUCCAGGUGUAGCGGUGAAAUGCGUAGAGAUCUGGAGGAACACCGAUGGCGAAGGCAGCCUUCUGGGCCAACACUGACGCUCAUGCACGAAAGCGUGGGGAGCAAACAGG